UACAGAGGUCCCAAGCGUUGUUCGGAUUCAUUGGGCGUAAAGGGUGCGUAGGCGGCGCGGCAAGUCGGGGGUGAAAUCUCGGAGCUUAACUCCGAAACUGCAUUCGAUACUGCCGUGCUUGAGGACUGGAGAGGAGACUGGAAUUUACGGUGUAGCGGUGAAAUGCGUAGAUAUCGUAAGGAAGACCAGUGGCGAAGGCGGGUCUCUGGACAGUUCCUGACGCUGAGGCACGAAGGUCAGGGGAGCAAACGGG
rnacentral:rRNA from 1 species